GCCGGGGUGGUGGAAUGGGCAGACACGCUGGUUUUAGGUACCAGUACCGAGAGGUGUGAGGGUUCGAGUCCCUUCCCCGGCACCA
rnacentral:tRNA from 1 species